GACAGAGGGUGCAACCGUUGUUCGGAAUUACUGGGCGUAAAGGGCGCGUAGGCGGAAUGGCAAGUCGGUCGUGAAAUCCUUCGGCUCAACCGAAGAACGUCGAUCGAAACUGCCGUUCUUGAGGAUUGCAGAGGAGACUGGAAUUCCCGGUGUAGCGGUGAAAUGUGUAGAGAUCGGGAGGAACACCGGUGGCGAAGGCGGGUCUCUGGGCAAUUCCUGACGCUGAGGCGCGAAAGCGUGGGGAGCAAACGGG
rnacentral:rRNA from 1 species